rnacentral:rRNA from 1 species
GACGAACGCUGGCGGCGUGCUUAACACAUGCAAGUCGAACGGAAAGGCCCUGCUUUUGUGGGUGCUCGAGUGGCGAACGGGUGAGUAACACGUAAGUAACCUGCCCUUGACUUUGGGAUAACUUCAGGAAACUGGGGCUAAUACCGGAUAGGAGCUCCUGCUGCAUGGUGGGGGUUGGAAAGUUUCGGCGGUUUGGGAUGGACUCGCGGCUUAUCAGCUUGUUGGUGGGGUAGUGGCUUACCAAGGCUUUGACGGGUAGCCGGCCUGAGAGGGUGACCGGCCACAUUGGGACUGAGAUACGGCCCAGACUCCUACGGGAGGCAGCAGUGGGGAAUAUUGCACAAUGGGCGGAAGCCGGAUGCAGCAACGCCGCGUGCGGGAUGACGGCCUUCGGGUUGUAAACCGCUUUCGCCUGUGACGAAGCGUGAGUGACGGUAAUGGGUAAAGAAGCACCGGCUAACUACGUG